UAGCUCAGUGGCAGAGCACGUGCUUAGCACGCACGAGGUCCUGGGUUUGAUCUCCAG
rfam:Camelus ferus unplaced genomic scaffold scaffold859, whole genome shotgun sequence.